CUCAAGUGUGGAGAUAAUUGGCGGCCAUCAUCAACUCCAACGUCAUCUCGGGUUCGAUAUAGAACUCCGUCUCCUUUCCACUGGCGAAUUGCAACGACCAGUAGAAAUACUGGCAGAUCUUCUCCAGCACGGGGGUGCUGAUCUCCGGAAACGUCACCUCGCCGUGUUGCGCCUCCGAGAAUCCACCUGGUGAUGUCAGCA
rnacentral:misc_RNA from 1 species